CUGAUUUCCUGAAGCCAACUGGCUCUGAUGCAAAAGUGAAGUAAUUUCUUUCCUGUGAUUUAUUUACUGUCUGAUGAUAACCAAAAAUACUAUAUAGAAGGAUUCACAGCAAAUACUUCAGAAAAAUACAAAGCUAGAGGGACACAAGCUCUAGAAGAUCACUGAAAGAAUCUGCUCAGAAGUAUGAAGUUAAGCCCACAGCAAUCCGUCUACCAAGAACACGGCUGAGAUACACAAUGGAGAAGGGCACUGCCUGAUGGACAUGGGUCAUUAACUUUGUUCAUAUAUGCAAAAUUCUAGUGAAGAAUUAAGCUAGUAAAAAAAAAAAUGCCUUAA